rnacentral:lncRNA from 1 species
UGGGACUGUGUGUAGUGAACCCAUGUAUUGUGCAAAGGAUGGAGAAUAGGUCACCUCCCCGACUCCCGUGAGUUUUUUUUUUUUUUUUGAGAUGGAAUUUCGCUCUUGUUACCCAGGCUGGAGUGCAAUGGCGCGAUCUCAGCUCACUGCAACCUCCGCUUCCUGGAUUCAGGCAAUUCUCCUGCCUCGGCCUCCCAAGUAGCUGGGAUUACAGGCAUGCGCCACCAUGCCCAGCUAAUUUUUUGUGCUUUUAGUAGUGAUGGGGUUUCACCAGGGUGGUCUCAACCUCUUGACCUCAUGAUCCACCCGCCUCAGCCUCCCAAAGUGCUGGGAUUACAGGCUUGAGCCACCGCGCCUGGCCCCCCAUAAGUUACCUACAGGCACUCGAGAGUAUUCCACAGAGAUGACAACUAAAGAGAGGAACUCACCCAGCUAGCCUGAAAAACUGAUUUCACUGACUGCUGCUGGAAGCCCUCACCUCUAGCCCCACAAGACAAAGCCUGGUGACUUAGUUUCAUGUCCAUCAAUUUCCCUCUCACACUUCAUCAAGCAUUACUUCCCGAGACAGAAUUGAUGGCUGUGUCUUCAGGCCCCAGUCGUCAUUCUUGGGUCUCUCUAUUCUUGACUAGAUCCUGAGUUUGUGAAGAGCAGAACUUUCCACUCUACCUCAAGAUCCUUCAGAACCUCGCUCAGGGUCUUCUGCCUUGUGGCCACUCAAUAAAUAUUAUUGUUUUGGCUUUUACAGAUGCUGUCACUGAGGCCCAAAGCAACUAAAUGGCUUUUCCGGGGCUUGUUAGUGGCUGGGCCAGAACAGGAUGGCAGCUCCUUCUUUCAGAGGAAAAGCUCACUGUUUGCAGCACCGCAACCUCCGCCUCCUGGGUUCAGGCAAUUCUCCUGCCUCAGCCUCCUGAGUAGCUGGGAGUACAGGCACGCGCCACCAUGCCCAGCUAGUUUUUUAUAUUUUGAGUAGAGACGGGGUUUCACCAUGUUGACCAGGAUGGUCUCGAUCUCUUGGCCUCGUGAUCCACCCGCCUCGGCCUCCCAAAGUGCUGGGAUUACAGGCUUGAGCCACCG